UACAGAGGCCUCGAGCGUUAGGCGGAAUCACUGGGCUUAAAGCGUGUGUAGGUGGAUGCCUAAGUACCUUGUGAAAUCCCAUGGCUUAACCAUGGAAUUGCUUGGUAUACUGGGUGUCUUGAGCCACUCAGGGGCGAGCGGAACAAACGGUGGAGCGGUGAAAUGCGUAGAUAUCGUUUGGAACGCCAAUGGUGAAAACAGCUCGCUGGGGGUGUGCUGACGCUGAGACACGAAAGCCAGGGGAGCGAACGGG
rnacentral:rRNA from 1 species